UCUACGUUCUUCUAGUGAUUCAGCUGGUUAUUGAUACCGGAGUGCCGAGUGCCACAGAAGCCCUGAGAAACCCCGUAGCCUUGUUAGCACGUUGCCCAGCAGCGGUGAGUCUCAUAUGCAAUGUACAGUAUUGUGUUAGCAUCGAUGUUAAUUCCCGCUAGCUUUAUUACUGUUAAGACGGCCUUUUUGUGGGCCAAACGAUUAUCUGUGGGUGGUUUGUUCAUUCACUCAUGUCACUUAAAGAUCUUGUAUGUUAUGUUUGGUACAGAUUAUUAGAUCUAAAUGCCAGUGUGUGUUUAUAAUGCUUGUUAAAGGUAUUCUAUUUUAUUUUUGGUACAGAUUAUUAGAUCUAAAUGCCAGUGUGUGUUUAUAAUGCUUGUUAAAGGUAUUCUAUUUUAUGUUUGGUACAGAUUAUUAGAUGUAAAGACCAGUGUGUGUUUAUAAUGCUUGUUAAAGGUAUUCUAUUUUAUUUUUGGUACAGAUUAUUAGAUGUAAAGACCAGGGUGUGUUCAUAAUGCACUUUAAAGGUGUUUUGUGUUAUUUCAAAGGUGUAUUUACUAUGCAUCUUAAAGAGAUUGAAUUAGUACGAUCACUUUAUUACCGCAUUCCAACUAUUUUAAUUGGUUUGUCAUCGGGUAAUUUUGUAAUUGUAAAACUUUGGAGCUAUAUUGUUGUACAACAUGUUUUUAUUUUUUUUUAGAACUUGAAUCUGAACAGUAGCAAGAGUAUUAUAGUAAAAAGUACUUAUUUUAAGCUACUUCAUUCUGACCUCACCUCUUAGGUCAGGUUUUUCUGUUCGGAUCGGAGUUGUGGACUGCAGACGUGCAGGAGAGUGAACCCUUUUCCAGUACUGGAUGGCGAGCCCAGCCCAAGAAGUCGAACAAACCGGUAGCUUGUAGCCCGACUGGCUACAAACACACUGAACACUGAACGAACACUUGAAGAGCAUUGCUCAGACUAUAA